rnacentral:rRNA from 1 species
UGGGGAAUAUUGGACAAUGGGCGCAAGCCUGAUCCAGCCAUGCCGCGUGAGUGAUGAAGGCCUUAGGGUUGUAAAGCUCUUUUGUCCGGGAAGAUAAUGACUGUACCGGAAGAAUAAGCCCCGGCUAACUUCGUGCCAGCAGCCGCGGUAAUACGAAGGGGGCUAGCGUUGCUCGGAAUCACUGGGCGUAAAGGGCGCGUAGGCGGACUUUUAAGUCGGGGGUGAAAGCCCAGGGCUCAACCCUGGAAUUGCCUUCGAUACUGGGAGUCUUGAGUUCGGAAGAGGUUGGUGGAACUGCGAGUGUAGAGGUGAAAUUCGUAGAUAUUCGCAAGAACACCGGUGGCGAAGGCGGCCAACUGGUCCGAGACUGACGCUGAGGCGCGAAAGCGUGGGGAGCAAACAGG